rnacentral:lncRNA from 1 species
GGUAACGCGGUGGGGUUGAUCUUCCAUGGUGUGAAGACUUCGUUCUUUCGCUCUUUGCAAUGACUCUUGGUGCUACUCACUCUGGGUUCACGCUGCCUUUAUGAGUUGUGAGACUCACCGCGAAGGUCUGUAGCUUCACAGCUGAAGCCAUCGAGACCACGAACCCACCAGGAGGAACGAACAACUCCAGAAGCACCGCCUUAAAAGCUGUAACACCCACCGCGAAGAUCUGCAGGUUCACUCCUGAGCUGCCGAGACCACGAACCCACCGGAAGAAAGAAACUUCGAACACAUCCGAACAUGAGAAAUAACAAACUCCAGAUACGCGUCUUUUAAGAACUGUAGCAAUCACCGUGAGGGUCCGCGGCUUCAUUCUUGAAGUGAGACCAAGAACCCACCAAUUCCGGACGCAACUGCCCUCCAGCCUGGGCGACAGAGCGAGACUCCGUCUCAAAAAAAAAAAAAAAAAAAAAAAAAAAAAACAGAAACAAUCCCACCCAGCUUUAGCAAGUCGGAGGAGAAGUGAAGACCAGAAUUAGAGUGGUUAUCUAAAGACAGAUUUGAAUCUGGGGUUUAGAAGAAAACAGCGGUGUUACAAAUGAAAACAAAAUGGGUCCUGUCUGAGAAGCCCCAGGAGAGAACACCUAUAUUAUUAAAGGAAGCAUGGACACUAGUGAGCCUUAUAUUUCUAUUCUUUUUUUUUUUUCUCUGAGACAGAGUGUCGGUCUGUCGCCCAGGCUGGAGUGCAGUGGCGCGAUCUCAGCUCACUGCAACCUCCGCCUCCCAGGUUCAAGCAAUUCUCCUGCCUCCGCCUCCCAAGUAUCUGCGAUUACAGGCGCACGCCACCAUGCCCGCCUAAUUUUUGUAUUUUUAGUAGAAACAGGGUUUCACCAUGUUGGCCAGGCUGGUCUGAAACUCCUGACCUCAGAUGAUCUGCCCUCCUUGGCCUCCCAAACUGCUCUAUUCUAUUCUCUCUCCUGUCUCUCUCUUUUUUUUUUUUUUUUUUUGAGGCAGGGUCUCACUCUGUCAUCCAGGUUGGAGUGCAGCAGCCCCAUCAUAGCUGACUGCAGCCUUGAACUCCUGGGCUCAAGCGAUCUUCCCACCUCAGCCUCCCAAGUAGCUGGGAGGACAGCCACCGCUCCUGGCCUGAGUCUUCUAUUGUCUUUCCUUUUCCUUUUGGUCUGGGGGGUUCCUCACCUUUUUCCUUUAUCUAGAUUAGUGGCGCAUUUAUACUCGAGUAAAUGACUGUACUUUUUAAACUGCUAUAAUAUUUUGAGGGGCAGGUUAGAGGAGUCAUAAGCCUUAGUCCUAAAGAGCUUGUGUUACUUCAAGCAUCAGUCACAUAGGGGAGGGGACAGAGGAUGGUCUCAAGUGUUCUGAAAUCACUCUAAUGUACGUAGAGGGGCCAACCAGAAGAGGGAAGCUAUAGUGUCUAAAGAGUUCCUGAGCCUCUGAUAAGGGGAGAGCAUGUGACAACAGUGAAAAUCCAUUUAAUGCCAAGGGGGUGGGGGGAUUUAGAAUUACUUGCCUGAGAAGCAACAUCAUCUCAGGUGGCAGCCAAGCCUUCAUACUGGAAGCAGAGAAGAACCGCCUCCUCCCUAGUGAUGCAGGGCUAGGGGCAGGAUGGGCUGGCCUCUCUCCUAGGCACAGGCUGAGCCCUGCAGCCCCUCCCAUGGGAGGAGCUGGCUAUUUCCCUCCACCCUAGUGCUUUCAGGAACUCAGCCAGGCCCAGGCUCCCUCCCCUUCUCACCUUCCAGCUCUGCCGUAGGUCUGAGCUUCUGCCACAGUGGCCUCAUUUCCCUUCUCAUGCCCAACAGGUGCCCCAGGGCUCUGACCCACAGGUCACUUUAUACAGAAUCGUGCAUUGCAAAUUGUUUUUUCUAUGUCCAGGAGAUUCAAGAGUCAUCUCAAAUAUGAUUUGAACGGGAGUUUCUUUGAAUUCAUUAUUGGUAACUGGCUAAUCAAUAAAAUUCCCCCUGGACAUGAAGAAGACAAGACAGGAUUCGCCCCUGGUCAGAGUUUUACAGAGGGUUUUUUUUUCCUUUUUUUCCCCCCCCCCCCCCCCCGAGAUGGAGUCUCGCUCUGUUGCCAGGCUGGAGUGCAGUGACGCGAUCUCGGCUUACUGCAUCCUCCACCUCCCGUGUUCAAGCAAUUCUUGUUCCUCAGCCUCCCAAGUAGCUGGGAUUACAGGCACACGCCACCACGCCCAGCUAAUUUUUUGUUUUGUAUUUUCAGUAGAGACGGGGUUUCACUAUGUUGGCCAGGCUGGUUUCGAUCAUCUGACCUCGUGAUCUGCCUGCCUCAGUCUCCCAAAGUGCUGGGAUUACAGGCAUGAGCCACCGCGCCCGGCCUUACGGAGGUUUUCUUCAUGACUUGUUUCCUUUUCUUCAUUUCAUGCUCCAGUUUCAUUAUUUUAGUGAAUUUGAGCUGAGAGUAGCUCCAAACCACAUAAUGAAGAAUAUUCUACUUCAAUUACAGUUACCCAUUGUUCUGUGGGGUCUGGGGUGCAUGGAUAAAGAUAUUAACCUGGCUUCAUAAUGAUGGCAAGAGGGGAAAGGGACGUAGAUUUCAACUGGUCUGGGUUCAUGUGUGUACACACACACGCACACGAGCACAUAAGCCUUAUUAAGAUGCACUGUGGAAUAAUACAAAGGUACAGGGAGAACAGGCGUAUUUACAGGCUGUAAGUGGGAAUGUAAUGUAACAUUUUCUAUACCAAAACCCUUAAAAAUAUGAGUACCCAACAAUUCUGUCAUCAGAUUUCCCUUAAGGAAAUUAGACAAGGAUACUAAGAUGGAUAUUCAAAAAUGUUUGUUCCAGAUUGUUUAUAAUAGCAAAAAAAUGCAAACAACUUGAAAGUCCGGAAAUAAUCUGAGUUCUUAAUUGGAAGCAACAGAAAUCAUUGCUAAGGUAGACAGGAAAGGGUUUUAUUAAAAGGACAGGAUAUGGCUUUAGGUGGUGUAGCCAGGAAGAGCGGGUGCCUGAAAGCCUGGGCAGGACUGGGGCAGUGGACUCACUUCUACAGUGUGCACCUCCAAUCCUACAGGCGCCAAACACUGCGUAUCACCACCAGCCCCACGGCCACCAGCUGCUCAGGGAUGUGCCAUCUUGCUGAAGCCUCUGCCUCUGCCAGACUGGGUUCCUCCAGGGCCUCUGCUUUUGCACCCCCAGCUCCUAGUUCCAAGCCUGGUGUGGGUGCAUGUGAUGGGCAGGGACUGGAUCCCAUGCCUGUAAGCUAGUGACAAGAGAGUCAGGAAAACUGACGUGGGGCUUUCAGCAACUACAGUGGGAGGCUUCCACUAGAAGGGAAUUGGGAUGCUGAGAAGCUAAAGAGACUGACAA